GUACCGUCAUCACCUUACACGUAAGGCUUAUUCUUCCUGUAUAAAAGCAGUUUACAACCCAUAGGGCAGUCUUCCUGCACGCGGCAUGGCUGGAUCAGGCUCUCGCCCAUUGUCCAAUAUUCCUCACUGCUGCCUCCCGUAGGAGUA
rnacentral:rRNA from 1 species